rnacentral:tRNA from 1 species
GGGAGUGUCGUCCAACUCCGGAAAGACGCCAGGCCGUUAACCUGGACAUGCAGGUUCGAUUCCUGCCAUUCCCGCCA